CCUACGGGCGGCUGCAGUAGGGAAUAUUGCUCAAUGGGGGAAACCCUGAAGCAGCAACGCCGCGUGGAGGAUGAAGGUUUUCGGAUUGUAAACUCCUUUUGUUAGAGAAGAUAAUGACGGUAUCUAACGAAUAAGCACCGGCUAACUCCGUGCCAGCAGCCGCGGUAAUACGGAGGGUGCAAGCGUUACUCGGAAUCACUGGGCGUAAAGAGCGCGUAGGCGGGAUAGCAAGUCAGAUGUGAAAUCCUAUGGCUUAACCAUAGAACUGCAUUUGAAACUGUUAUUCUAGAGUAUGGGAGAGGGAGGGGGAAGUCUGGGUGGAGGGGAAAAGUCCGUAGAGAACAAGAGGAAUACUCAGUG
rnacentral:rRNA from 1 species